rnacentral:lncRNA from 1 species
GUGGCUGACAUAGUAGACCGGCAGUUGGUCGCUGAAGUUUUCCCUGACCAGAACCGAGCUGACCGCGUGCUGAGAGGCGGCGAGGUAGAGGCUUAAUUUCUCCCCCGGGGAGACUGACACGAGUCGGGGGAGGUUGGCCAGGUGUUGCUUCAUCUGCUCGAGGGCCCUUUCACAUUCCGCCGUCCAUUGGAAGUUUUUUGGAUC